AACGAACGCUGGCGGCAGGCUUAACACAUGCAAGUCGAGCGUCCUCGCAAGGGGGCGCGGCAGACGGGUGCGUAACGCGUGGGAACAUACCUCUCGGUUCGGAAUAACCCAGGGAAACUUGGGACAAUACCGGAUACGUGCGAAAGCAGAAAGAUUCAUCGCCGAGAGAUUGGCCCGCGUCCGAUUAGCUGGUUGGUGAGGUAACGGCUCACCAAGGCGACGAUCGGUAGCUGGUCUGAGAGGAUGAUCAGCCACACUGGGACUGAGACACGGCCCAGACUCCUACGGGAGGCAGCAGUGGGGAAUAUUGGACAAUGGGCGCAAGCCUGAUCCAGCCAUGCCGCGUGAGUGAUGAAGGCCCUAGGGUUGUAAAGCUCUUUCGCCAGGGACGAUAAUGACGGUACCUGGAUAAGAAGCCCCGGCUAACUUCGUG
rnacentral:rRNA from 1 species